CUCAUGUCACUCAGACGCCAAAUGCAAUAACACUGAUGGAUCUUAUAUCUGCACAUGUAAUUCUGGGUAUACUGGAGAUGGAUUCAACUGUACACAAAUAGACGAAUGCCAAACGUCUUUUCCAUGUCAUACCAAUGCUACGUGCAAUAACACAGAUGGAUCUUAUAUCUGCACAUGUAAUUCUGGAUUCAGCGGAGAUGGAUUUAAUUGCACAGAUGUAGACGAAUGCCAAACGUCUUCGCCAUGUCAUUCCAAUGCUACGUGCAAUAAUACAGAUGGAUCUUAUAUCUG